AUAAUGAUACUUCUGUCCAGCCACAGUUCACACAAUGGGGGCAGCCUGGUGAGAUCCACGGGGAGGUGAGAUGCCUAUGG
ncrna:unclassified sequences pemK RNA